UCUCGAUUGGUCUAGUGGUCAGGAUACCUGCUUGUCAUCCAUCUCCAUGAUUCAUUUCUUAUGAGGUUAAAUUCGCAGGUGGCCGGGGUUCGAUUCCCCGAUCGAGAG